rnacentral:misc_RNA from 1 species
UUGAUUUAACGAUUGGACAAUUCUGGGAUAUUGGGUUCUGCCUGCGCUUAAUUGCGCGGCGGUUUAAUUCCAUAUCUGCUAACAGAAUUGUCUCAACACCAACACACAUUGUAGUUUCUACUAUAUUACUUUUCUUCCUGAGUUGAAUUUAUUUUAGCCCAGGGAUAAAAACACAAACAAAAUUUAUUUAUUUAAAGACAGUCAAGAUAUUAAUUUCUAUUAAAAGAAAUAAAAUAUUC